AGGGCGCCAUGGCGGCCACCUACUUUGCUCUGAACAGGACCCCACAGGCACCGAGGCUAGAGCCUGUGCUCUCAUCUAGCUUGGCCCAACGCAGAGGCAUGAAGAGACUCACGUCUACCAGGUUGUAGUGGCCAGCCAAGUCUCCAGCCUCAGUCGCCAUGCCCAACGUCCUCUCAGCCUCACAGACGCCAGACACAGGUCCUGUUCAUGGGCACUUGAGUGCCCAUGAGUCCAGCACAAAGAUGGAUCUGGCCUUGGCUAUCUCUCUGUUUCCUUUGCAGCCCUGGAAAGGGUCCUGCCCAGGAUGUCUGAGCCUUGCUGCGCCGACCUCUCCGCCUGCUCUCUCUCUCCUCCUGAGUGAAACCAAAUGAAUCUGUCACCUCAUAGCACCCUGCUGGGGCCUCCCUGGGCUCACUCAGGGCUCUCAGUGUCUCCAUGUCAUGGCUUAUGCCCAAAGCAGAGCUCUUUUACCAUCCUGAUGUCACCUACGUGUCCCACUGUCUCUCUGAGAGUGUUAGUGCACAGUCCCUGCCUGGAGACAGCAGAGCCACUUUCGAAGAGCUGGAUGUUCUGGCAAUGCCAGUGGCCCUGUGAAAGCAUCCAGCUUAGAUGCCUGACUCUGUCCACAAUCACCCAAAGAGUGCCCCUCACCACCCUCCUGCUCUCAAGCAAGAUGCUGGGUAUCCUCUCCCUGACUCUGUCACUGACUUGGCAGGAUGAAAGCAACCAACCCAAGAGUCUAGAUGGCUAGAGUCUAUUUGAGAGCGUGAUUCCUGUUGGUUGAGACAGGAGCCCCAGGAAAUUGCCGGGCAGAGCCAGUACCCACUACACUGCUGCCCCCUUAACCCUGUGGCCCCAGGGACACUGGAGAGAGUGGGGCUCUGCCAUUGCUGGGUGUGUUGGCAUCUCUGCUCAUAUUUGCCUGCUGUGGUAUAGCAUAUUCACUCUCUCUCUGCUUUCCUGGGCCACAGAGAAUGUCUUCUCCUCUACCCCUCUAUCCCUUCUUGACUGAGGACAGGAGAGACACCUGAGCCCCUUGCCUUAGACAGGCAGAAGGUGCCUGGACAAGUUGUCAGUGGGAGUGAUGCUCUUCUUAGAAGCUGUGGUCCUAUGUUGCAUCUUGUGCUUCUGUUGCUAACUUGUUUUCAGGCUGUAGUCUGCGCAGGGAGCAGUAGUUACACGGACCAGGCUAUCUGUGGCAUACUCUUCAUGCAGAGUAACCGAGUGAGACCCUUCCCCCGUGGCGUGCUCCACUCCUCCUGGUCGGAGAGGAGGGACUUGUGUGUCCUGAAGUCUCUCUGGAGGCUGCUGAGGAUAGUGGACUCAGGUCAGAAGACACUCCACUGUGGCUCAGAACCUGCCAGUCUGAGAAGCAGCCCCUCUGCCCAGUAGAAGCACCUGUAGGAGGCGCCUGUUGGUCACAGCAGGCUUACACUAGGAAGACCACAGGUGGACCACGGCUGCUUCUGCAAUGCCUGCCCCAGUGGAAUGUUCAGAACAUAAUUCCUUUGCUCAGUCUAAUUAUUUCAGACUUCAAAACGUAAACAUAUUUCUGAAGCUUUAAUUACUCCACUGGACUCUGUUCUGUUUGAGAAUUAUAAAAUACAGAGUGGGGAUAGACUGUGCGCCAUUUCCAGUGUCCCUGGGGAUGGUCUCCUGCUUUCUCAGUGGAUUCUCUGCCCAAGGCUGAGAUCAUCUCCCAGUUAAUGUUCUGGGCCCAAAUCCUUCCGAUUCUUGAUAGAAAUCCAGAGGGAAAGUAUAGUGGGUAGUCUUAGUGACAGAUUCUGUCCUCUGAGAAAUGAACAGGAGCUCUGGCACCCUCCGAGGGCCUCUCUGGCAUGCACCCUUGCUCCAGCUGCUCACGGCUCAGGCUGGGUUUGCUUGCAGCUUCAAGUGUACAUGUUCCGAUGAAAAGAAAGAACAACAGAACACAGAAGGCAUGGCUGAGGAGGCGAGCAUAGCCUGUCCCCCUCGUGGUCACCUGGCCGCAUCACCUCUUUCAGUAAUGUGAGGUUACCUGCUUUACACUCAGCCUACUCUCGCCAAAGGGAUGGAGAAGACCAUCAGUCAAACCAAACGCAUCCUCUGGAUGUGUCUGGAAGGAUGCUCAGCCUUGCCCUGCAGAGAGUGGAGUACCCCACAUUCCCACCUCACCCAGUACUUGAUACUUGAAAUCUCUUGUGGAGUCAGUCAGAGGAGCACGUGACAGGAUCGUUUUAAUCCCUGUUCUUUAAAGUCUUCAGUGCCACAGCAGUCUGCUGUGGCAUGUAACCCCGUGUCCCCAGUGUUUACCUGGCCUGUGACCCUUUACCCAACACGAGGAAAGGCUCUGUAUUCUCUACACAAAUGACUACUUGUGUAGCUACAGAAUUUGUCAUGGGAAAGCCCAGCCUACAUCCUGGGACUCCUUUACCCAUCCCCGGAGCUACUUUUGGGCUAUCCCACUGCAGCUCCUGCCCUGUUUGGGCUGAGAACAUGAUGAGCGCUCCACUGAAGAGGUGGGGAUGGGGUGCUUGUCAGAUUCUGUACCCCAGAGUCAAUGGCAGGCAAGCCGUGAACGUCCCCUGUCCUAUGGUUGGAACGUGUGUGAUUUUGAACUACCUGUGUGCACUGGUCUUUGGAUAUUGUUUGGCUUUUUAAGUGAGGAUCGUCCUGAUGGUAUCUAAUGUCAGCAGUAUUCCUGAUUAAAUGGUGUUCUUCCUUAAGAUGCCCUUUGGGAUUUCCCUGCAUUGUACCGCUUCUCUCAAGCAUAGGAGGAGAUACACCGUGACUCUUCAUUCUCUCUGGCACAUUUUGCCGCCCUUCACCACCCGCAAGACUGUGAGACACCUGGAGUGGGAAAGGUCUCUGGGGUCCCUCUGUGGCAGGGACAGGUGGAAGGGGAAGCCAGCAUGGCUCGUCGGUGCAGGUGAAAGGCACCACCCCACUCCCAGCCCGCGCUGCGUUUACAUGAUCAGCAGUUCCGUUUACAGCUCACUCCAUGUUCACACUUUCUGGCUGUGUGUUGAGACGGCGGCCACUGUACAGAUAUUUAUUAUGCUUUCCAAACUUUCCCAUGAGAUUUUUUGAAUAAACAUGGAUUUUAUGAAGUGUAA
rnacentral:lncRNA from 1 species